AGAGGAAGUGUGAAAGGUAUAUGAGAUACCAGCUUAGAAAACAACUCUUUAGCUCCUCCUGGUGAUUAGGACACCACUAAACAAUAGGAUGAAGGAUCUGUCCCCAGGGCCGAAGUGAUGAUGUAUCUAAUAUUAUAUCCUAGAACAUUCACAGAGUAGCUGCAGAAUGUCUUGAGCUGGAACAUCCCCAAGAGGCCAUAUAUAUAUAUCCCAGGGAUUUUACAGUGGACCUCACUAGGCCGGAGUAACUGUAAAGUCAGAUGGAUAAUGAGAAUUCAGGACGUUAGCCACACGUGGACUGUGGCAAAAAGAAAGUGACCCAUUGAAGAAGACUGUUUUUCAGCUCUCUCAUCAAUUGCUGUUUCCAGGAGCCCACAGCUCCAAUUACUCAAAAGAACGUUGACUUUUUUUUUUUUUUUUUUUGGUAAAAUAUCCUGAUUUUCAGGUUAGGCAAGCAAUUCAUUAAAAAAUAAAAGACUGCAC
rnacentral:lncRNA from 1 species